CCUCUGGCUCCUCUACGGGUGUGCCGCCCAAAUGUGACAUUAGACGGCUCUGGGGUUACAUUUUUCGAGCUUUUAAUUCAAAGUAAAAGAAGAACUUUGCUUCACCUCCAAUCUGGGAAUUCCAGGCAGGUAUCGCCGAAGCCCUUCACACCGUUUAUCUCGAAGUCAUUCCAUAACCCUGCAGGUGCUAAGGAUCAGAGCCAUUAAGUGACCCAACCAGAAGCAAAGUAAAUGAUGGACAACCAAGAGGCAAACACUUAAUGGACUAUCAUGGAAAGGGUACAAAUGCAUUGAGAGUUGAACUCUGCAGUCGAGACUGAUGAUCAGCGAGAAGGUGAAAAGUUGACUUGCGGCAAGGACACUACCAGUUUCAGGAGUGAGGGAAAAGAGGAGCCUGAGUAUUCAGGCCAGAGCUCAUACUGAAUCCAAGAAAUGAGGCGGCGACUGGGGAAGGAGGUCUCUUCCAUCAAGAACCUGAAACACCAAAGUAAAAUAAUGUAAAAGACACCCUUAAACUGACAACAAGUUUCAAAGCUGGAGGGUUGAAUUUAAACGGCUUAUUUUAAGUUAAGCAUCUGAAAAUAUUGAAGUCUAAAUCAUGAAAAGUUACUCGUUAAUUGCAUCUGUGUUUGCUUGUCAGUUACUUAUUGAGAAGAUAAAGGCCGGUUCCUUCUUCAGCUUUGUCUUCCUGCGUUAGCUGAAAGCCCGCUGAGAUCAGAGACUCAAGAGGAAAUGGAUAGAAAUAAUGAAGCAAGACAUAUUUCUUCCUGUACUCUGGCAGCUUUUCCAGGCUGCCAAUUUUGAGUAAUAUAAAGCAUACGCAGGCAGGCAGUUAACUAUAUUAAGACGUACCUAGCACCAGAGGGAGUGGUGGGGAAGUUGAAACUCCCGCCAGAGAGCUAGUCUCUUGUUCCACCAUGUGUUUAGGUAUCAAGCUUAUCCUCCCCCUGGUCUUAGUUUUAAUGGGUUUUGAUUUCCUUGUGCUCCCGAACCUUGAGGUGGAAAUAUGAUCAUCCUGAACAUACUACUUACUUUUACCUGCGAACUUGAGCUUUAUUGGCUUAAAAAAAAAU